rnacentral:rRNA from 1 species
AUUGAACGCUGGCGGCAGGCCUAAAACAUGCAAGUCGAACGGAGCGGCGGAAGGGUGAGUAAUGCCUAGGAAACUGCCUGGUAGUGGGGGAUAACGACCGGAAAAGGGCGCUAAUACCGCAUACUAUCAGAUGAGCCUAGGUCGGAUUAUCUAGUUGGUGGGGUAAAGGCGUUCAAAGGCGACGAUCCGUAACUGGUCUGAGAGGAUGAUCAGGCCAACUGGACCUGCGACACGGUCCAGACUCCUACGGUAGUCAGCAGUGGGGAAUAUUGGACAAUUGGCGAAAGCCUGAUCCAGCCAUGCCGCGUGUGUGAAGAAGGUCUUCGGAUUUUAAAGCACUUUAAGUUUGGAGGCGUUACCAACAGAAUAAGCACCGGCUAACUUCGUGCCAGCAGCCGCGGUAAUAC